UACGUGAGGGGCAAGCGUUGUCCGGAAUCAUUGGGCGUAAAGGUCGUGCGCAGGCGGUUUGUAAGUCUGUCGUGAAAUCCCCGGGCUCAACCUGGGAAUUGCGAUGGAGACUCGCAAGGCUAGAAUCUGGCAGAGGGGGUAGAAUUCCACGUGUAGCAGUGAAAUGCGUAGAGAUGUGGAAGGAACACCGAUGGCGAAGGCAGCCCCCUGGGUCAAGAUUGAC
rnacentral:rRNA from 1 species